CCUACGGGGGGCAGCAGUGGGGAAUAUUGCACAAUGGGCGAAAGCCUGAUGCAGCGACGCCGCGUGAGGGAUGGAGGCCUUCGGGUUGUAAACCUCUUUCGCUCAUGGUCAAGCCGCAGCUUUGGGUUGUGGUGAGGGUAGUGGGUAAAGAAGCGCCGGCUAACUACGUGCCAGCAGCCGCGGUAAUACGUAGGGCGCGAGCGUUGUCCGGAAUUAUUGGGCGUAAAGGGCUUGUAGGCGGUUGGUCGCGUCUGCCGUGAAAUCCUCUGGCUUAACUGGGGGCGUGCGGUGGGUACGGGCUGACUUGAGUGCGGUAGGGGAGACUGGAACUCCUGGUGUAGCGGUGGAAUGCGCAGAUAUCAGGAAGAACACCGGUGGCGAAGGCGGGUCUCUGGGCCGUUACUGACGCUGAGGAGCGAAAGCGUGGGGAGCGAACAGGAUUAGAUACCCGGGUAGUC
rnacentral:rRNA from 1 species